GUCACUUUCCUGCUAAUCUGUUUUAGUCAUCUCUGCUGCUUCUUCCUUCUAACAGGGUUCCCUUCUCUAGGGAAAGGGGCGGGCCCUGAAAUCAUAGAUUAAAACACAAAAGGAAACCACUUUCUCCACUGACCUCUUUCCAGCAAUGAUUCAUGAUCUGGUAGACAUUUGUGGAGGCCAGUCGGGGCUUGUAUAACCGAAAUCCGGUACUGAUGUCUUCCACCACCUCAGAGUUGCUUCGGUUUUCAUAUGGGAUUUUGCCUUCGCUGAAGACUUCCCACAUGAGCACACCUAUGAGAGAUGAGCUGUUUUGCACACAGACUCUCAGAGGGACACCCUCAUGGUCAAGCAUUCAGAGCAAGAAGAGAUGCCUGCAUUUGACAAAGGAAACCACAAGCCCACAGUCCCAGAUCACAGGGGCGUGGGGCCAGGAUGACUCUUACCAAAUGACCACACAUCUGACUUGCUGCUGUAACGGCUGAAGGAGAAAACUUCUGGGGAUGCCCACUUCACUGGGAACUUGGUGCCUGUGGAACUGGUGUACUGAUCAUCGAGGACAAACCUGGAGAGAGAGUGGAAGGAGAAUGUCGGAACAUUCCAGAGCCUGAGUUCCUUUCCUGAGACCUUGCUGACACCACAUCCCCUUAUUACCUUGUCAUUCCGAAGUCAGACACUUUGAUGACUUGGUUUUCUCCCACCAGACAAUUUCGGGCAGCCUGGAGAGGAGACGGGCAAAUAAAAGAAAAGGAAAAGUG